GACGAACGCUGGCGGCGUGCCUAAUACAUGCAAGUAGAACGCUGAAGGAGGAGCUUGCUUCUCUGGAUGAGUUGCGAACGGGUGAGUAACGCGUAGGUAACCUGCCUGGUAGCGGGGGAUAACUCUUGGAAACGAUAGCUAAUACCGCAUAAUAGUAGAUGUUGCAUGACAUUUGCUUAAAAGGUGCAAUUGCAUCACUACCAGAUGGACCUGCGUUGUAUUAGCUAGUUGGUGAGGUAACGGCUCACCAAGGCAACGAUACAUAGCCGACCUGAGAGGGUGAUCGGCCACACUGGGACUGAGACACGGCCCAGACUCCUACGGGAGGCAGCAGUAGGGAAUCUUCGGCAAUGGACGGAAGGCUGACCGAGCAACGCCGCGUGAGGGAAGAAGGGUGUCGGAUCGUAAAGCUCUGUUGUAAGAGAAGAACGAGUGUGAGAGUGGAAAGUUCACACUGUGACGGUAUCUUACCAGAAAGGGACGGCUAACUACGUG
rnacentral:rRNA from 1 species